AAAUGAAUUGACGGGGCCCCGCACAAGCGGCGGAGCAUGCGGAUUAAUUCGAUGCAACGCGAAGAACCUUACCUGGGUUUGACAUGGGCCGGAAACACCCAGAGAUGGGUGCCCCUUUAUGGUCGGUUCACAGGUGGUGCAUGGCUGUCGUCAGCUCGUGUCGUGAGAUGUUGGGUUAAGUCCCGCAACGAGCGCAACCCUCGUCCUAUGUUGCCAGCGGGUUAUGCCGGGAACUCAUGGGAGACCGCCGGGGUCAACUCGGAGGAAGGUGGGGAUGAGGUCAAGUCAUCAUGCCCCUUAUGUCCAGGGCUUCACGCAUGCUACAAUGGCUGGUACAAAGAGCUGCGAGCCUGUAAAGGUAAGCGAAUCUCAAAAAGCCAGUCUCAGUUCGGAUUGGGGUCUGCAACUCGACCCCAUGAAGUAGGAGUCGCUAGUAAUCGCAGAUCAGCAACGCUGCGGUGAAUACGUUCCCGGGGCUUGCACACACCGCCCGU
rnacentral:rRNA from 1 species